GUAGUGAUGCUAGCUGUGGGUUCCAGUUCUGCAGUGAAGCCUGUGGUAGUGAUGCUAGCUGUGAUGCUAGCUGUGUGUACCAGUUCUGCAGUGAAGGGUGUGAUAGUGAUGCUAGCUGUGAUGUUAGCACUGUGUACCAGUUCUGCAGUGAAGCCUGUGGUAGUGAUGCUAGCUGUGAUGCUAGCUGUGUGUACCAGUUCUGCAGUGAAGGCUGUGAUAGUGAUGCUAGCUGUGAUGCUAGCUGUGGGUACCAGUUCUGCAGUGAAUGCUGUGGUAGUGAUGGUAGCUGUGAUGCUAGCUGUGUGUACCAGUUCUGCAGUGAAGGGUGUGGUAGUGAUGCUAGCUCUGGGUUCCAGUUCUGCAGUGAAGGGUGUGGUAGUGAUGCUAGCUGUGAUGCUAACUGUGGGUACCAGUUCUGCAGUGAAGGGUGUGGGUUUGGACUGUGGAUCUGAGUAUUCUGCGCUCCGUAGCAGUGUUGGCUAGAAGGAGUAGCUCUGCAGUGCGGCGGUGCUAGCUGUGGGUUUGGAUGAUCUGGUCAGGGCUUUUUCUGUGCUCGUCACCCCCCUUUAAUCAGACACGGCUGCAAAUCCAGCCGCCUCUCCAGCUCUCCAAAUGCUCACCGCAGGGCAGAUUUACAACUGAGAUCACUGCAGCAUCCCUGCCCUCAGAGAGUGUGUGUGUGUGUGUGUGUGUGUGUGUGAGAGAGAAGGAAAGAGAGACAGAGAUGCUGCAUGGUUCUAGUGGCCUGCAGAGCUGUAAAGACUCUCUGAUGUGUGUGUGUGUGUGUGUGUGUGUGUGUGUGUUUUAACUCUGUGUGCUUCCUGCUUCCAGAGGCCUGUAGAGCUGUGAAGCCUCGCUGAUUGCACUGCACACACUAAUCAGAGAAUCCUCCUCUCUGUGCCGUCUGUACUCAGAAUUGCUCAGCAAGUGUGAAUCAUACCUCAGUGGAUGUUUACUCACAGCUAGUGUGAAUCAUACCUCAGUGGAUGUUUACUCACAGCUAGUGUGAAUCAUACCUCAGUGGAUGUUUACUCACAGCUAGUGUGAAUCAUACCUCAGUGGAUGUUCAUUCAAUGUUGGCAGGGACAAAAUCUCACUACCACUCCACUGGUGUACCUCAGGGAUUGGCACUUGGACUUCACCUAUUAUGUAUUUACAUCAAGUGAGAUCCCAUCACUGUAAUGCAGAUGAUGCUCCACUCUAGUUGUCUUUGCCCUCCGGAUGACUACACAAUAUCAGCUCGAGUUUCUGUAUGCCUCAGUGAUAUUUCAGUUUGGAUGACGGAUCGACGACACCUUCAGCUCAGUCUCUCAAAAACGGAGUUCCUGGUUUU
ensembl:lncRNA